AAAUGAAUAGACGGGGGCCCGCACAAGCGGUGGAGCAUGUGGUUCAAUUCGAAGCAACGCGCAGAACCUUACCAACCCUUGACAUGUCCAGUAUGGGUUUCAGAGAUGAGACCCUUCAGUUCGGCUGGCUGGAACACAGGUGCUGCAUGGCUGUCGUCAGCUCGUGUCGUGAGAUGUUGGGUUAAGUCCCGCAACGAGCGCAACCCUCGCCCUUAGUUGCCAUCAUUUAGUUGGGCACUCUAGGGGGACUGCCGGUGAUAAGCCGCGAGGAAGGUGGGGAUGACGUCAAGUCCUCAUGGCCCUUACGGGUUGGGCUACACACGUGCUACAAUGGCGGUGACAAUGGGAUGCAAGGGCGCGAGCCUUAGCUAAUCUCAAAAAGCCGUCUCAGUUCGGACUGGGGUCUGCAACUCGACCCCACGAAGUCGGAAUCGCUAGUAAUCGUGGAUCAGCAUGCCACGGUGAAUACGUUCCCGGGCCUUGUACACACCGCCCGU
rnacentral:rRNA from 1 species